rnacentral:rRNA from 1 species
AUUGAACGCUGGCGGCAGGCCUAACACAUGCAAGUCGAACGAGUGGCGGACGGGUGAGUUAUGUCUGGGACACUGCCUGAGGGAGGGGGAUAAAUACCGGAAACGGUAGCUAAUAACGCAUACCAUCAGAUGUUCCCAGAUGGGUAUAGCUGGUCGGUGGGGUAACGGCUCACCUAGGCGACGAUCCCUAACUGGUCUGAGAGGAGGACCCGCCAAACUGGAACGGAGACACGGGCCAGGCUCCUACGGGAGGCAGCAGUGGGGAAUAUUGGACAAUUGGCGCAAGCCUGAUGCAGCCAUGCCGCGUGUGGGAAGAAGGCCUUCGGGUUGUAAAGCACUUUCAGCGGGGAGGCGUUACCCGCAGAAGGAGCACCGGCUAACUCCGGGCCAGCAGCCGCGGUAAUUC